rnacentral:lncRNA from 1 species
UUUACUGAUUGGGUGAGUUGGGAAAUGAGGAUAGGCUUGUGUCUGCAGCACAUACAUACACAAACAAAUCCUCACACCAAGAGCAUCUGAGAAAAGAGCUAGCCAAGUGUUCCUGCUGCUGGACACUGGAGGAAUCUCAGCAAAGGCACUGAUUUUCAGAGCUGUGAUAAGGUAACUGCAAAUGAUUUAAAGUCCAUACUGUAAGAGAAGUUAAUUUAUUAUAUGAGAAUGAAUUCAGAA